GACGAACGCUGGCGGCGUGCUUAACACAUGCAAGUCGAACGGUAAGGCCCUGCUUUUGUGGGGUGCUCGAGUGGCGAACGGGUGAGUAACACGUGAGUAACCUGCCCUUGACUUUGGGAUAACUUCAGGAAACUGGGGCUAAUACCGGAUAGGAGCUCCUGCUGCAUGGUGGGGGUUGGAAAGUUUCGGCGGUUGGGGAUGGACUCGCGGCUUAUCAGCUUGUUGGUGGGGUAGUGGCUUACCAAGGCUUUGACGGGUAGCCGGCCUGAGAGGGUGACCGGCCACAUUGGGACUGAGAUACGGCCCAGACUCCUACGGGAGGCAGCAGUGGGGAAUAUUGCACAAUGGGCGGAAGCCUGAUGCAGCAACGCCGCGUGCGGGAUGACGGCCUUCGGGUUGUAAACCGCUUUCGCCUGUGACGAAGCGUGAGUGACGGUAAUGGGUAAAGAAGCACCGGCUAACUACGG
rnacentral:rRNA from 1 species